rnacentral:rRNA from 1 species
CUACGUGCCAGCAGCCGCGGUAAUACGUAGGUCCCGAGCGUUGUCCGGAUUUAUUGGGCGUAAAGCGAGCGCAGGCGGUUAGAUAAGUCUGAAGUUAAAGGCUGUGGCUUAACCAUAGUACGCUUUGGAAACUGUUUAACUUGAGUGCGAGAGGGGAGAGUGGAAUUCCAUGUGUAGCGGUGAAAUGCGUAGAUAUAUGGAGGAACACCGGUGGCGAAAGCGGCUCUCUGGCUUGUAACUGACGCUGAGGCUCGAAAGCGUGGGGAGCAAACAGGAUUAGAUACCCCGGUAGUCCACGCCGUAAACGAUGAGUGCUAGGUGUUAGACCCUUUCCGGGGUUUAGUGCCGUAGCUAACGCAUUAAGCACUCCGCCUGGGGAGUACGACCGCAAGGUUGAAACUCAAAGGAAUUGACGGGGGCCCGCACAAGCGGUGGAGCAUGUGGUUUAAUUCGAAGCAACGCGAAGAACCUUACCAGGUCUUGACAUCCCUCUGACCGCUCUAGAGAUAGAGUUUUC